rnacentral:rRNA from 1 species
CCUACGGGAGGCAGCAGUGGGGAAUUUUGGACAAUGGGGGCAACCCUGAUCCAGCCAUGCCGCGUGCGGGAAGAAGGCCUUCGGGUUGUAAACCGCUUUUGUCGGGGAAGAAACGCUCUUGGCCAAUACCCGAGAGUAAUGACGGUACCCGAAGAAUAAGCACCGGCUAACUACGUGCCAGCAGCCGCGGUAAUACGUAGGGUGCGAGCGUUAAUCGGAAUUACUGGGCGUAAAGCGUGCGCAGGCGGUCGUGCAAGACAGAUGUGAAAUCCCCGGGCUCAACCUGGGAACUGCAUUUGUGACUGCACGGCUGGAGUGCGGCAGAGGGGGAUGGAAUUCCGCGUGUAGCAGUGAAAUGCGUAGAUAUGCGGAGGAACACCGAUGGCGAAGGCAAUCCCCUGGGCCUGCACUGACGCUCAUGCACGAAAGCGUGGGGAGCA